rnacentral:misc_RNA from 1 species
UCAAACUUGGUCAUUUAGAGGAAGUAAAAGUCGUAACAAGGUUUCCGUAGGUGAACCUGCGGAAGGAUCAUUACAGUGCCCGUGGGGCGCGCCUUCCCGGCCUCCGCCCCACACACGGCCACCCGUGUCUACCGUACCUCUUGUUGCCUCGGCGGGCCCGCUCCGGCCGCCGGGGGGCCAUCCAGCCUCCCGGCCCGCGCCCGCCAGAGGACCACACGAACCCUUCCAUGAAUCUGGUGACGUCUGAUCUUGAGAUUUGAUCAUCGAAUCAAGCUUAUAAAACUUUCAACAACGGAUCUCUUGGUUCCGGCAUCGAUGAAGAACGCAGC